rnacentral:rRNA from 1 species
AUGAACGCUAGCGGCAGGCUUAACACAUGCAAGUCGAGGGGUAUAGUAGCAAUACUAGAGACCGGCGCACGAGUGCGUAACGCGUAUGCAAUCUACCUUUACAGAGGGAUAGCCCAGAGAAAUUUGGAUUAAUACCUCAUAGCAUUGCGAAAUGGCAUCAUUUUGCAAUUAAAGUCACAACGGUAAAAGAUGAGCAUGCGUCCCAUUAGCUAGUUGGUAAGGUAACGGCUUACCAAGGCAACGAUGGGUAGGGGUCCUGAGAGGGAGAUCCCCCACACUGGUACUGAGACACGGACCAGACUCCUACGGGAGGCAGCAGUGAGGAAUAUUGGACAAUGGGCGCAAGCCUGAUCCAGCCAUGCCGCGUGCAGGAUGACGGUCCUAUGGAUUGUAAACUGCUUUUGUACGAGAAGAAACACUCCGACGUGUCGGAGCUUGACGGUAUCGUAAGAAUAAGGAUCGGCUAACUCCGUG